rfam:Schistosoma rodhaini strain Burundi genome assembly, scaffold: SROB_scaffold0001184
AUCCAGCUGAUGAGUUCCAAAAUAGAAAGAAACACACGUCCUGGAU